GGGCUGCAGUAUAUUGACUGUACAAAGGUAGCAUAAUCAUUAGUCAUUUAAUUGGUGACUUGUAUGAAAGAUUGGAUGAAAUAUAGACUGUCUCUUUAUUAUUUAUAGAAUUUAAUUUUUUAAUCAAAAAGUUAAAAUAAUUUAAAAAGACGAGAAGACCCUAUAGAGUUUUAUAUUUAAAUUAAUUGAGAUUAUUUAUAAAAUUUUUAAUUAAAAUUAUUUUAAUUAUUUUGUUGGGGUGACAAAAAAAUAAAAAUAACUUUUUUUAAAUUUUAACAUAUAUAAUUGAUUUUAUGAUCCAUUAUUAAUGAUUAUAAGAAAAAAUUACCUUAGGGAUAACAGCGUAAUUUUUUUUUUUAGUUCGAAUAAAAAAAAGAGUUUGCGACCUCGAUGUUGGAUUAAGAUAAAAUUUAAAUG
rnacentral:rRNA from 1 species